rnacentral:lncRNA from 1 species
UUUGGAUUCCCAUUUAAUGAGUUGGCAGCUAAAGGACAGGAGAAGCAAUAAGGCUUCCUGGCUACAUUUUCAUGGUGCCACCAACUGCGAGUUAAGCUGACAAACAUUUUGAGAGCUCGGCCCAUUUCAUUCCCAGCAGGAUGGCAGGAGUUAACUAAAACAGAAUAAACUAAAAAUUGUGCCUUCAUUGCACUUUUGCACUGAUUAUCAGCACUGAAAAUGGCUAAGUUCUGCUUAUCAAGAGCGGGUGACUGAUUGUCCCUGCCAGCUGGCUAAUAUCAUAAUUAGCAAAGUUGCUACCACAUCUGCAAAGUUUAAUCGAAAAAUUUACCAGUGGUAUGAUGGCAUUGUCACCGCGAUCCUGAGGGAAUCAGAGUCGACUUCUGCUUCAGCUGGAAU